UUAAAUUGAAGAGUUUGAUCAUGGCUCAGAUUGAACGCUGGCGGCAGGCUUAACACAUGCAAGUC
rnacentral:rRNA from 1 species